ensembl:lncRNA
AUAGUGAGUUGGUUGGGACUUUUGGCUACUGGUUACUGUUUAUAGAUUGUUAAUGCAGGGAUGAAAUGCUGUAGUUGUAGAAUACAAAGAGCCAAAAGUUUUCGGUCACCUUCAGAAAGACUUGAUUGAUUGCAUGACCAAAGCUUGAGUCCAGAUUGCCCAAUGAUUUAACUAAAUAGGAAAUGCCUUGCCAGCUGAGGUGGGAUUGGGGGAAACUCCUUCAGUUGACAUUUUUAAAGACUCAUCAAUGAGAUUUUCUUUAGACUCCCACUAACCUAUGAUGCCUGAAAUUCCCAAAAUCAAAAUUCCUUCGGAAGUACAGGUUUAAUUCUGGUUUCACCAGUACCCUAGAAAAAUUCAAUUGGGCAUAAUUAUGAAAUAUUCCAACAUAUUUAAUAUUUCAAGCCAUCUCUAAGCCUCUGAGUGCCAUUUUCUUUAUUACGUUUUAAUUUGAGAGGUAAAUUUUUAAAUGAAUUCUAUGCACUGGUCAUCAGUGCCUCAUCCCUGGCAGGUGUAGCUCUUCCCUUAGAUAUGAUCCUACUCCUGAUUAUUGUAACUUUUACAUCUUGAAGUUGCCACUAAAGUCAGGACUAAGAAUUUAAAAAGGUUUCUGUUUAUUUUUAUUUUUAUUUUUCAAAGAAAAACAGUCCAUGGAGUUUGCAUUUUAUCCACGAAUGGGAGAGGGAGGUCAUAUGGUUUGGGGGAUUGUUUCAUGAACCCCACUUUUUCAUGGUGAAAAGUUAGCCUUGUGAGCAAUUUUUUGUUUCAUAGUAACUUUUGGAUUGUCAGCAGUGCCAACUUUUGCCCCUUAGAGGAUCCAGUGUUCCUGUAAUUCUGCUUGACAAUUGAUGAAAAUUAUGUUGAAUAUGUGGUUUCAUAAUUACAUAUAAUUUUGGGGGGGGGUAUAUCCAUCUUUCCCAUAUAUUCAGAGGAAUUUUUUUUCUCUACACUGAAGGAUUUUUCUUUCCCUCUUAGUGAUUUGGAAUUAGGUUCAUAGGAAUUAUGUUGGAUCUUAGCUAUGGUUUCUUGAAUUAGUCUUGAAACCUUAUAUAGUAAGGUCACAUUGUCCACUGGUUGUGAGAAUGAACAAAGACUGUAACAGAAAGUAUUAAAAUUUGUGUACCUUGCUGGACACACCAAAGAUGUUUGGUUCCACCUGAAUCCCCCACUUGGAUAUCUAUGAUCAUAUUCUAAUUUCUACAGCUGGAGCACUUUACUUCUGUUUCUUUUAAGUAUCCAUCUCCCCCGGGAGCUGGAAGCAAUGCAACUGAUAAAAAGGACAUUUUUGUAAGGCUCUGCUGGCCCAGUGCCACAGUGGGGAUUAUUGUCCUUUUUUGUAUAUUUACCUCAAGCAUGGUAGAGCAACAGGUUUGCCACCAUUGCUUCAGGCUGAUGAUAUAUAGAUAAGCCUAGUAGAAAUUCUAUGAAUUAUGGAAGCAGUAGAGAAUAGGAUGUUGGCACCAUGAGUUUGAGAGAGAAAUACAUUUCUCUGUACUGUAUCUCUUAGAGAUCACGAUGCCUGCAGCAGGAGUAUACUUUGGUAUACUUUUUUUUUUUUUUUUUUUAAAGACAGCUAGUUCCACUUUUUGAAAACUUAAUGCGGGUUUUGUGCCUUGACAACCUCUACCCACGUUGGGUUUGUAGUAAGUCUCCCAUGGCAUAACACUGAAAUGCAAUAAGCAAAUACAAAAUAGUUAAUUCCAUGAGUAACUCUUCAGAUGACAUAUCCUUUCUAUCCUGCCAAAACUUUAUGAAGAAUUUUCUUUGGUUGUGGAGAAACCAGUUUAAAUUUCUUCUGAUAUAAAAAUUUGUAUAAAAAUUUUCCCUCAUUCCCUCCCUUAAAUCUCUCUUCUAUUUUACUGUAAAUAUUUGGAUAUUUAUUAGAGUAGAACAUCUUUACUUAACUCUUAUCAACUGAGCCAAAUGUCUGUGUGCAAUUGUGUGUGGUUCUUUUGUCUUUUCUGUAAGAUUUUGUAAAUAAGUAAAAAUCACUGUUUUCUAAACUUUUUUUAGAUUUUGACAUUUGUAAAUAUGUAGAUUCUUUUCUGUGUAAUGUGUUCUACUGUUUCAUAAUGCUGUAACUUGUAGAAAUAUUGUAUAUUUAUUUUCUGCUUAUUUAAUUUCUUAUGUUCUGUAAAGUUAUGCAUUCCCUUUCCCUUCCCCAGAUUAUCUGCUUUAACACAGAAGGAGUGAUUGAUCAGUUUAACGCACUGUCUCUUUCAGUGCUGUCUGUAUGGUUUUUCUACUGUGGUCCUUUAGAUUUCAUUCUUAUUCAUUUUACUUUUUUAAAACUUUUAUACUUUGCCAUUGUGGUUUUUAAAAGCGAAGGGAGCUGAUAAUAGCCAAAUGCUGGAAAUGACUCAAAGCAUUAACCAAGUUGAGUUGUUCCAGUUGUAAACCAUAGCAGAUUGUUUGCCCUAAGCCCCAUCUUUAGGUAGAAAAUAACAUUUAGCUUGGGAAAAGUUUACUGCCAUUGACUAAUCAAAGUUGAGAAAACAAAAAGGUGAUCAGAUUGUAAAGGUUGCCAAAGUCUGGGAUUCGAGGGAUAAGUGAACAGGAGAUCACUUACGUUGUUUGAUUCCCCUGGUUUUUUCUCCUUUAUUUGUUAGGAAGGAAAUAAGAUGAGGACCCUAUGUUUUUGUUUUUGUUUUUGCCUUGUUCCCCCAGCCAUUUACUUGGGAGCAAGCUGAUGGGGGUAUAAGUUUACUUAUUUUAAUAUCAGUGUGUUAUUUACUUUGCAAUUGAAAUAUGGUUUAUCCUUCCUACUCUUCUUCCCUCAAUGGAAUAGUAAUCCAUAACAUUCUGAUAGUCCUAUUAAUUUGACCUCAGUUUAGUUUGUAUUUCAUUCGAGAUUAUUUUGAGUCCAGAUGAGAGAAAUCUUUAAUUGGCUAUUAGGAUGUGCUAAGUUGUGAAUGUUUUUAAGAAAAUUUAUUUGCUGAUAGGCUCCAUAUAUAACAAGUGAAAAGCCCUGUCAUUGCAGUUUAGUCUGGUGCCUACAUGUGUAUCUAUUACUCUGCACUCAUACAUACAGUAGAUGUAUGGGAGCUUUGGUGCAUGCACACAGGUAAAUCAACUGUGUAAUUUGACAUUUACACAUACAUUUCCUUAUACAACAAGAAGCACCCUCAAGUUCUCAUGUAAAUAACUUGACUACUUAUUUUUUGGGGCUUUCAGAGAAUCUAAAUAUUUUGUACCCUGGUUUAAAGACCACUAAUACUGUAUAAAAACUCAUCAGGUACCAAUAUGUACAUAGCACUGAUCUGUAACUUAGACUGAUUAAUCACUUACUUUGUUUCAUAGGACCCAGCAUAUGUAGCAUUUUUAUUGCAAUUUCCC